rnacentral:piRNA from 1 species
UGAGAUUAAAGGCCGAGUGCUGGGAUCACGCC